GACGAACCGUGCGAACGUUGUUCGGAUUCACUGGGCGUAAAGGGUGCGCAGGCGGCCGUGUGUGUGAGGCGUGAAAGCCCGGGGCUUAACCCCGGAAUUGCACCUCAAACUACAUGGCUAGAGCAUUGGAGAGGGUAGCGGAAUUCACGGUGUAGCAGUGAAAUGCGUAGAUAUCGUGAGGAACACCAGAGGCGAAGGCGGCUACCUGGACAAUUGCUGACGCUCAGGCACGAAGGCGUGGGGAGCAAAAGGG
rnacentral:rRNA from 1 species